rnacentral:rRNA from 1 species
UACGAAGGGGGCUAGCGUUGCUCGGAAUCACUGGGCGUAAAGCGCGCGUAGGUGGCUUCAUAAGUCCGUUGUGAAAGUCAAAGGCUCAACCUUUGAAAGCCGAUGGAUACUGUGGAGCUAGAGUACGGAAGAGGCGAGUGGAAUUCCUGGUGUAGCGGUGGAAUGCGCAGAUAUCAGGAGGAACACCAAUAGCGAAGGCAGCUCGCUGGGACGUUACUGACACUGAGGCGCGAAAGCGUGGGGAGCGAACAGG